rnacentral:rRNA from 1 species
AUUGAACGCUGGCGGGAUGCUUUACACAUGCAAGUCGAACGGCAGCACGGACUUCGGUCUGGUGGCGAGUGGCGAACGGGUGAGUAAUGUAUCGGAACGUGCCCAGUCGUGGGGGAUAACGUAGUGAAAAUUACGCUAAUACCGCAUACGAUCUAUGGAUGAAAGCGGGGGAUCGCAAGACCUCGCGCGAUUGGAGCGGCCGAUAUCAGAUUAGGCAGUUGGUGGGGUAAAGGCCCACCAAGCCAACGAUCUGUAGCUGGUCUGAGAGGACGACCAGCCACACUGGAACUUAGACACGGUCGAGACUCCUACGGGAGGCAGCAGUGGGGAAUUUUGGACAAUGGGCGAAAGCCUGAUCCAGCCAUUCCGCGUGCAGGAUGAAGGCCCUCGGGUUGUAAACUGCUUUUGUACAGAACGAAAAGGUUUCUACUAAUACUAGGAGCUCAUGACGGUACUGUAAGAAUAAGCACCGGCUAACUACGUGCCAGCCGCCGCCGUAA